UUUAUUGUCGUUCAGUGUUUCACUACAGCCAGUUCAAUAUGGACAAAUUUUGGAUACAAAUACUUUCAUUGCUAAUUGUGAUCGUUGUCGCAUGUCAGUGUGCCCAAAAAUUCAAUCCCGUUGCAUCUCACGCCUUUUCAAUCAAUAUAAAUACAGGAAAUUGCCGCUAUAGGAAUCAUAUGGGAAAAUGUAUCGAAAAACAACCGUUGAAAAAAAAAAUAACCGGAAAUGUAAUGCCGUACCCAGUUAAAAAUAAGAUUCAUUCUGGAAACCACUUAUGAAAAAGCCUGGAUUAAAUAUCCUCAAUAAAAAUAUCUUGACAGAUAGUAUUGAAAUACAGUUCCAUUAUGAAAGCAUACCAGCUUUGUUCUUGUUCCAUGACAAAAACUUAAAAUAUUAAAAACAUAGUAUAUAGAAUGGGAUAAGACACCUUCAACUCUUUCAAAAAAUUUGUUUCGAUUCUAAGUGAGUGUAAAGUUACUGCUCUUUAUUCAAUAUAGGUGGAAUUCUUUAUGUACCAUGUUAGUAGUUGUAGUCAUAUUUAGUACAUUUGGUGUGGUGGUGCCUAAGGUACAAUUUUUAUUGUACAAUUGCAUUUUAUUGUAAUAACUUUGAGUAUAUAUUAUUACUAACAAAAUAAACUGCACUGUUUAAAAAUA